rnacentral:rRNA from 1 species
CGUAGGGUGCAAGCGUUAAUCGGAAUGACUGGGCGUAAAGGGCGCGUAGGCGGCUUUGCAAGUGACGGGUGAAAUCCCUCGGCUUAACCGAGGAACUGCCUGUCAAACUGCAUGGCUUGAGACCGGGAGAGGUGAGUGGAAUUCCCAGUGUAGCGGUGAAAUGCGUAGAUAUUGGGAGGAACACCAGUGGCGAAGGCGGCUCACUGGACCGGUACUGACGCUGAUGCGCGAAAGCGUGGGGAGCAAACAGG